GAUGAAGAACGUAGCGAAAUGCGAUAAGUAAUGUGAAUUGCAGAAUUCAGUGAAUCAUCGAAUCUUUGAACGCACUUUGCGCCCCCUGGUAUUCCGGGGGGCAUGCCUGUUCGAGCGUCAUUUCACCACUCAAGCCUCGCUUGGUAUUGGGCAACGCGGUCCGCCGCGUGCCUCAAAUCGACCGGCUGGGUCUUCUGUCCCCUAAGCGUUGUGGAAACUAUUCGCUAAAGGGUGUUCGGGAGGCUACGCCGUAAAACAACCCCAUUUCUAAGGUUGACCUCGGAUCAGGUAGGGAUACCCGCUGAACUUAAGCAUAUCAAUAAGCGGAGGA
rnacentral:misc_RNA from 1 species